rnacentral:rRNA from 1 species
UACGUAGGGGGCAAGCGUUGUCCGGAAUUAUUGGGCGUAAAGAGCGUGUAGGCGGCCAGAUAAGUCCGCUGUGAAAUCUCGAGGCUCAACUUCGAGCUGUCGGUGGAAACUAUCUGGCUAGAGUCCGGAAGAGGAGAAUGGAAUUCCCGGUGUAGUGGUGAAAUGCGUAGAUAUCGGGAGGAACACCAGUGGCGAAGGCGACUACCUGGCCUGUUUCUUGACGCUGAGGCGCGAAAGCUAGGGGAGCAAACGGG